GGCGAGGAUACCUUUUCUCUGUAAGACUUUUUCGAAGAGUCGAGUUGUUUGGGAAUGCAGCUCAAAGUGGGUGGUAAAUUCCAUCUAAAGCUAAAUAUUGGCGAGAGACCGAUAGCGAACAAGUACAGUGAUGGAAAGAUGAAAAGAACUUUGAAAAGAGAGUGAAAAAGUACGUGAAAUUGUUGAAAGGGAAGGGCAUUUGAUCAGACAUGGUGUUUUUUGCAUGCACUCGCCUCUCGUGGGCUUGGGCCUCUCAAAAAUUUCACUGGGCCAACAUCAAUUCUGGCAGCAGGAUAAAUCAUUAAGAAUGUAGCUACUUCGGUAGUGUUAUAGCUUUUUGGAAUACUGUUAGCCGGGAUUGAGGACUGCGCUUCGGCAAGGAUGUUGGCAUAAUGGUUAAAUGCCGCCCGUCU
rnacentral:rRNA from 1 species